UCGGGGCGAGCGUUGGGCGCCGCCGCGCCGUGCUGGGUGCUCGGUCCGCCUCAGCGGUGGGGAGCGAGCCAGGCCUCCAGCCACCGCUGCCGCCGCCACCACUGCAUCGGGCUGGUGCAGCCCCGGUCCAGGCCGUGGCCGGGGCAGGAGCGCAGUAAGUGAAGGAACAUUGUUGAAACUUCCCUCACCACGCCCUCUGCUGAUUAUUUGUGAAACUCAGCAAAUUGGGAAGGGCGGCGGCGGAGGAGAGGCCUGCAGCGGCAGGGAGCGGCGGGACUGGGAGCGAGCUGAGCUGGAGGGGGCAGCGAAGGCUGGCGCGGCGAGCAGCAACCAUGUAGGUGUUCCUAGGUGAUCCGGACGCUGUUCGGGACUGGAGUGGGGUAAGGCCGCCAGGGCGGCCCGACCCCCCAGGAGGCCAUCCAGUGGCUGCAGGACACGGAGGAGAGAUGUUCAGCAAGAAACAGGAGUUCUUGGAGAAGAAAAUCGAGCAGGAGCUGACUGCCGCCAAGAAGCAGGGCACCAAAAACAAGCGCGCGGCCCUCCAGGCACCGAAGCGUAAGAAGAGGUAUGAGAAGCAGCUGGCGCAGAUCAACGGCACAUUAUCAACCAUCGAGUUCCAGUGGCAGGCCCUGGAGAAUGCCAGCACCAACAACGAGGUGCUCAAGAACAUGAGCUGUGCCGCCAACGCCAUGAAGGCGGCACAUGACAAUAUGGACAUCGAUAAAGUUGAUGAGUUAAUGCACGACAUUGCUGACCAGCAAGGACUUGCGGAGGAGAUUUCAACAGCAAUUUCGAAACCUGUAGGGUUUGGAGAGAAGUUUGACGAGGAUGAGCUCAUGGUGGAAUUAAGAACUAGAACAGGAGGAACUAGACAAGAAUUUGCUGGAAAUCAGUGGACCCGAAACAGUCCCUCUACCACGUGUUCCCUCUAUAGCCCUACCAUCAAAACCCGCCAGGAAGAAAGAAGAGGAAGAUGACAACAUGAAGGAUUUGGAGAAGUGGGCUGGGUCCAGCGCAGGCUGGGCCAGGUUUCUGGUGGCCUGCGCAGCAAGCAGGCGUUUGCAUGUGCGAGGCAGGCAGGAUGGAUGUGGUGCAGGCAGGUUCCAUCGCUCUUGACUCUCACUCCAAAGCAGUGGGACUGCAUUGCUGCUCGCUCUCUGCAUAGCAUGAUCUGCACCUGGUGGGACGGGUGGGGACGGAUCGAGGAGAGGGACAGUGAGGGGGAAGUGCCUGCUGUUUAUAAUGUUGAAUUUCUGUAAAAUAAACUGUUUGCAAAUCCAAAAAAAGCAAAUUCUAGAGAUGUCAUGUUGGCUCUAAUUACGUUGGUAUGUGUCUUUUAAAAAGAUAUUUCCCCCCCAUAACCACAGUGCCAUUAUCCCCACCUAACAAAA